rnacentral:rRNA from 1 species
UACGGAGGGGGCUAGCGUUGUUCGGAAUUACUGGGCGUAAAGCGCACGUAGGCGGACCGUUAAGUCGGGGGUGAAAUCCUGGGGCUCAACCUCAGAAUUGCCUCCGAUACUGGCAGUCUCGAGUGCGGGAGAGGUGAGUGGAAUUCCCAGUGUAGAGGUGAAAUUCGUAGAUAUUGGGAAGAACACCAGUGGCGAAGGCGGCUCACUGGCCCGUAACUGACGCUGAGGUGCGAAAGCGUGGGGAGCAAACAGG